rnacentral:lncRNA from 1 species
GCAUGAUAUUGGCUGACUGUAACCUCCACCUCCUGGGCUCAAGUGAUUCUCCAGCCUCAGUCUCCCAAGUAGCUGCAACUACAGCUCUGUGGCUACAUGGGUGUGAACUGGAACGAGGCAGAAGGGAUCUAUUUUUCUAUUUAGUGCCAAUGAGCCCCCAUGGAUCUACGCAGUGUGCUUUGUGCAGAUGAAGCUGUAUGUACAACAGAGUGAGCUUUGUGACGCCCUCUGCACAGGAGCAGUAUCCGUGAGACAAAAGAGUGGGACUCUGUCACCAUGAUCACAGAUGAAGGAUGCCGGGACACUCUGUCAAAGGAGACUCAGAACUCCAUAUAGGACGCUUGACUAAGAUCCCAGGUACUGUCACCAUGACUGUCACCCACAAUUUUCCCAGGAGGGAGACACCAGUAGGAAAGAGAACAGCCCCUGUGAUGUCAGGGCCAACCUGUCUCCAGCCUCCGUUCUGCUAAGUAACUCUAGAAGUUCCUCUCCUGUCUCUGGCCCAACUGACCAUGUGUCAGAUGCCUGGGAAAAAGGAACACAGACUUGAUGAUGAUUCCUGGUUCUGAGCUCAUGUCGCUGUGCUCCCAGGCUGUUGACACAGGCAGGACCCCUGGGCUUCUUGGAUUCAAGCACACAGUUAAUAACACAAACCCUGACAGCCUAGGCUUGAGCUGGGGUUCGUUGGGGGUGGGUGGCAGUGGUAGGGGAAUAACUUAGGAAAGUUAUUUAAGCUGCCUGGGUCUGAAUUUCCUUGUCAUAAAAUAGGGGAAAUAGUUGUACUUACAUGGCACAUCUGUGAUGUGAAUUAAAUAUCUGGCACCUACAACAGUGCCUGGCCCCCAGGAUUUGGUGUGUGAAGAGUCCAGGUAUUGGUACGAGUCCAUGUCCACUGUCUUCCCUGAUCCCCAAACCCAGGUGCACCCAUUAGUAACUAAAAUGAGGCAGACAAAAGGGAUGAGUGAUGAGCGGCAGUGGUUGCCAGAGGUAGGUCCAGGGACUAUAUUUCUUAAGACAUUCUGGGUCAGGAAUAAUUACAUAGAAUGGAGCCAAUAAUUCCAAAUCCAUGUAUUUAGUUAAUAAGCUUUUAUUUAGGGCAUGCAGGUGCCAAAUUUUGUCCCAGGCACUUACAUAUAUUUAAUCAUUUAGUCUCCUCACAACCCAUGAGAAAUAAACAUACUGUACUAUCAUUAUCUACAAAGAAACAUGGAAUAAGACCCUAGAGAGAGCCUCCAGCAAAAGGGUGUCUGUGAUCAUUGUACAUUUUUCAAAACAUGUUCAAUGACAAAAAAACCAGCUUUAUAAAGUGCAUGUUGAACUGUGAUAUAACUAGCAGUGCAUCUAAGAGUGAAACAAUGAACAUUAAAAAUGAAAGGAUCCUUG